rnacentral:rRNA from 1 species
GAUGAACGCUGGCGGCGUGCUUAAUACAUGCAAGUCGAGCGAACGGACGAGAAGGUUGCUUCUCUGAUGUUAGGUGCGGACGGGCGAGUAACACGUGGAUAACCGACUUACCAGACUGAGAUAAGUUUGGGACACCGGAGCUUAUCCCGUAUAAUAGUGUGAAUCGCAUGUUUCAAAAGUGAAGGACGGUCUUGCUGUCACUUAUAGAUGGAUCCGCGCUGCAUUAGCUAGUUGGUAAGGUAAUGGCUUACCAAGGCAGCGAUGCAUAGCCGAGCUGAGAGAGUGACCGGCGACACUGGAACGGAACCACGGUCCUGAGUCCUAGGGGAGGCAGCAGUAGGGAACAGUACGCAGUGGGCGAAAGCAUGACGCAGAAGCGUGGGGUGAGUGAUGAGGGUCUUCGGAUCGUGAUACCGUGUUAUUAGGGAAGAACAUAUGUGUAAGUGACUGUGAAGAGCGUGACGGUAACUAGUCAGAAAGCCACGGCUAACUACGUG